ensembl:lncRNA
AUGAUUUGGGAAGGAUUCCCUCUUUUUGGAUUAUUUGGAAUAGUUUCAGAAGGAAUGGUAACAGUUGUUCCAGUAUCUGUGGGCUAUGAGGUCUGUGUGGCAAUGACUCAACUCUGUAGUAGCAUAAAAGCAGCCGGGAACAAUAUUUAAAUGAAUGGAGGUGGCUAUGUUCCAAUAAGACUUUAUUUACGAGAAUAGGCAGUGGCUGGAUUUGGCCAUAGUCUUCCAAUCCCUAGACAAGAAUAUAAGGAAUAAAAGGUACCGUGGUUCAACAUGGGGAUACUGAGGAAAGAGCUGCCAGCACAUGUAGGAUCUUGAAUUGGAACUCCUUGGUGGAAUGAACGGGGUACAUCCAUAACCAGGACAUCCUGGAAUGGAAUAUUUCCUGCCCAUUGCUGGCUUAACAACCUGAUUUUCAUAUUAUCAAGGAGAUAACUGGGGCCAUCCGUGAGGGCAGUUAUAAGGAUUAAGUGAAACAAUACAUAUGCCUAUAUAAUAGACAUAUUCAACACAUUUCACAAAUCCCAAUUCCCUGGUAGCCAAUUUGAGUUCUAGUUUGCCUUGAAAUAUAGGAAGUGAGGUCUUAGGCUUCCAGAGGACCUUGACUGCUUCAUGCAGUGGUCACUCUGUCUUGGAGAUAGCUCUGAAACUCACUCGGGCCCUGUGGGCUUCUUCAUGAAUUAGCAGGAAAGUGCUGGUUGCACAUUUAACCUUUUUCAUUACCUCGAGAGAAAUGAUGUGAACGUUUUUCUUUUAAUUGCACAGCACAAAUUUAAUUUAAUAACUCUUCCUAUGUUCAUUUGGUGAUUUGAAAAAAGCUGAAUUUUCUUUUUAAUUAACUGAGAGCGGAGGGCAUUUUACAUUCGAUGUCAGGAGGGGGUGAACAUUAUUGUUUGUAAUUGGCAAAAAUGAGGAAACACAUUCUACCCAUGAAUGACAUUACAAGGGUUACUCCUGUUUCACUUAGCUCCCCCAACACCAUAGAAUAGCUGUAUACAAUGUGAAGGAAUUUAAAAAUAUAAGAUGGAGAAAAAUGUUUUUUAAGAUAUAUACUAAAUGUAUAUGUAAAUUUUCUAAAGGGAUAACUCAAGUUGUGUGUGUGUGUCUGUGUGCGUGUGUACCUACAGUUGUGUGAGGGCAUGUGUUUUGAAUGUAACUAUCACUACCUUGCUAAAAUGAGAAAAUGUAAAAGAAUUUUACGACGUGCUUGUUAGUAACUUACUUAAAUAGCUGCAGGCAGGCUCAGGAAUUUUAUUCCCUAAAUGACAGUUGAAGACCCUGUGUCUACCUGAAGUGAGAGGAGAGAACUGCUACUAAGGCUAGUGGGGAAGGGCAAGAACUUGUUGAGCUUCCCCAUGUCUCACAAAGGCACCCGGUGACCCACAGGUCCGAGCUGCAGCAGUGGCCUUGGUUCCCCGUGCUGCACAAGGUGCUAGAGUUCUUAGAGUUGUUUCUCGUUGAGAUUUGCUGUUAGGAUGAAACCUGGGACUGAGCAUGAGAGGAUAAGAUCAAUAUUUAGAAAAGGAUCAGAGUCAUUCUUUGAAAUCCAAACAAGCAUUGGCUUAUUUUUUCUUGCAGGAUUAUUUUAAAAGAUUUGCACACGUGUAUCAAAGCUUAUUUAACCAAUUCAUAGAAGUAUCACUUGGGGUUCUUUUUAGAAUUAAAGAUUUCAUUGCCUUAUGCCCUAAGAUUCUUAUUUAGUAUAAUUUAGUCCAUCUAAGGCAGGGCCUAAAGAUCAGAAUUUAUAUUAAGUACUUUGGAUAAUUUUCAUCAAGGUGAGCUAUGUGUUAUGCUUUGAGAAACCCUGUGGGUAGUAAGCUUACUUGAAAAAUAGCAUAAUUAAAGCCAACUUAUUUAGAGUCUUUUUUUAUUUGCCUAAUGAUCAGAAUAUUUCAAUAUGUACCCAUAACAUGCCAAUGUUGAAUUUUCAAGAGAUAGGCCCAAGUCAUCUUUUUCACAAACACAAAGGAUCUUUUUUAGCAUUAAUUGGCCAAGAAGGAGGGGGAGUCCACAUGGCUCCCUUGGUGUAAUUGACGCCCACUGUUGGCUUUUUUACCUCAGAACAGGUGUAGACGUCAUGAAUCAUCCCUCCUGGUUCCUUUUGGCAUUUUGCAACUGAUUGUUUUAGAGGCCAAACUGUUUGUGAAAAAUUUAACUUGUCAUUCCAUCAGAAAGCUUUUAGGAGGAUAUCUGACAUUUAAUUUUUUAAGUCAAUAAUCUAGGUGAUUCUACGCACAUUUCUUUGGCUAUUUUGAACAUGUAUGUUCUGUGAGAAAACAAUUUUCAAUGAAGAUUUAGCAAAUAUCUCGACAUAUAAUCCCCCAAAGUCUGGUUUCAAAUGCAAUUGUAUGGGUGCUGGAAAUGUUGUCUGUCAUAAACUAAUUUAAGAAACUAUAUUUUGCCAGGAAAAUAGAAAAGAUCAUUUUGAUUUUUCUAUAGAAAAUCCUCGUGCCUGGAACGACACACACAUGUUAUUGACUAUGAGUAAAAUAAAAUGUUGCUUAAAAAAAUUCUAGCGUUAGAAUGAAAAUAAUCAUACUAAAAGCUACCAUUAUGGCAAUA